UACCAGCACCCCGAGUGGUCGGGACGAUUAUUGGGCCUAAAGCAUCCGUAGCCGGUUCCACAAGUCUUCCGUUAAAUCCACCUGCUUAACAGAUGGGCUGCGGAGGAUACUAUAGAGCUAGGAGGCGGGAGAGGCAAGCGGUACUUAGUGGGUAGGGGUAAAAUCCGUUGAUCCAUUGAAGACCACCAGUGGCGAAGGCGGCUCACUGGCCCGGUACUGACGCUGAGACGGCGAAAAGCGUGGGGAGCAAACAGGGAUUAAGAA
rnacentral:rRNA from 1 species